rnacentral:rRNA from 1 species
UACGGAGGGUGCAAACGUUGCUCGGAAUCAUUGGGCGUAAAGCGCACGUAGGCGGACUGUUAAGUCGGACGUGAAAUCCCUCAGCUUAACUGAGGAAGUGCAUUCGAAACUGGCAGUCUUGAGUACGGGAGAGGGUCGCGGAAUUCCAGGUGUAGCGGUGAAAUGCGUAGAUAUCCGGAGGAACACCGGUGGCGAAGGCGGCUUCCUGGACCGACACUGACGCUGAGGCGCGAAAGCUAGGGGAGCAAACGGG